UCUCCGGCGCCUUCUCUCAUUUUUCCAGUAGGGUUUCAACUUUGCAGAUCAUUUUGAUUAAAUUAUUGGGCUAUUGGUAUGAGCACGGGGUUAACCUUGUGGUAAUACUUGUUCUAGACAAGAGGUGAUAGUUCCCGUUCGGGUCAGUCAGGGAAGGCUCCGGAAGCUUGAGCUGCUAUUGCAAAAUUGUAGCGCUUCCACUCUUUUGAUUGUGUUGGAUAGAUGUAUAUUGCCAUG